AGCUUUGCAUAGUGGCAGUAUUGUAGCCAGAGAUUUAUCCGAGGCUCGAUUAUUGCUAAUUGAAAACUUUUCCCAAUACCCCACCAUGACAACUUGCAAUAUAGUUGGCAUUGGCAAUUUUUGACAGUCUCUACGGAGA
rnacentral:snRNA from 1 species